rnacentral:rRNA from 1 species
UGAACGCUGGCGGCAUGCCUUACACAUGCAAGUCGAACGGCAGCACGGGUGCUUGCACCUGGUGGCGAGUGGCGAACGGGUGAGUAAUACAUCGGAACAUGUCCUGUAGUGGGGGAUAGCCCGGCGAAAGCCGGAUUAAUACCGCAUACGAUCUACGGAUGAAAGCGGGGGACCUUCGGGCCUCGCGCUAUAGGGUUGGCCGAUGGCUGAUUAGCUAGUUGGUGGGGUAAAGGCCUACCAAGGCGACGAUCAGUAGCUGGUCUGAGAGGACGACCAGCCACACUGGGACUGAGACACGGCCCAGACUCCUACGGGAGGCAGCAGUGGGGAAUUUUGGACAAUGGGCGAAAGCCUGAUCCAGCAAUGCCGCGUGUGUGAAGAAGGCCUUCGGGUUGUAAAGCACUUUUGUCCGGAAAGAAAUCCUUGGCUCUAAUACAGUCGGGGGAUGACGGUACCGGAAGAGUAAGCACCGGCUAACUACGUGCCAGCAGCCGCGGUAAUACGUAGGGUGCGAGCGUUAAUCGGAAUUACUGGGCGUAAAGCGUGCGCAGGCGGUUUGCUAAGACCGAUGUGAAAUCCCCGGGCUCAACCUGGGAACUGCAUUGGUGACUGGCAGGCUAGAGUAUGGCAGAGGGGGGGUAGAAUUCCCACGUGUAGCAGUGAAAUGCGUAGAGAUGUGGAGGAAUACCGAUGGCGAAGGCAGCCCCCUGGGCCAAUACUGACGCUCAUGCACGAAAGCGUGGGGGGAGCAAACAGGAUUAGAUACCCUGGUAGUCCACGCCCUAAACGAUGUCAACUAGUUGUUGGGGAUUCAUUUCCUUAGUAACGUAGCUAACGCGUGAAGUUGACCGCCUGGGGAGUACGGUCGCAAGAUUAAAACUCAAAGGAAUUGACGGGGACCCGCACAAGCGGUGGAUGAUGUGGAUUAAUUCGAUGCAACGCGAAAAACCUUACCUACCCUUGACAUGGUCGGAAUCCUGCUGAGAGGUGGGAGUGCUCGAAAGAGAACCGGCGCACAGGUGCUGCAUGGCUGUCGUCAGCUCGUGUCGUGAGAUGUUGGGUUAAGUCCCGCAACGAGCGCAACCCUUGUCCUUAGUUGCUACGCAAGAGCACUCUAAGGAGACUGCCGGUGACAAACCGGAGGAAGGUGGGGAUGACGUCAAGUCCUCAUGGCCCUUAUGGGUAGGGCUUCACACGUCAUACAAUGGUCGGAACAGAGGGUUGCCAACCCGCGAGGGGGAGCUAAUCCCAGAAAACCGAUCGUAGUCCGGAUUGCACUCUGCAACUCGAGUGCAUGAAGCUGGAAUCGCUAGUAAUCGCGGAUCAGCAUGCCGCGGUGAAUACGUUCCCGGGUCUUGUACACACCGC